rnacentral:lncRNA from 1 species
CCUGUCCGUAAUUUCCUGAAUAAUUGGACAGCUCAUUCAUGACCUUGGUCCUUUCGGCCGUUGGGUCUUCCAAAGGCACGCGGCUCUGGGACCAGCCAUGCUCAAAUUAACAGAAUCCCAAAUCACCUAACAGGGCUCCAGAGUGGGAGAAUGUGUUUCACUUUAAAAUGACUGGAAAUCAUAUGUCUUAAGCUAACUGAACGUAUUAAAUCUUAGUCAAUAUUUUCCGGUUCAAAUGAAACACUCGCUCUCUCUACUUAUCUAAGGGCGUUAAUUGCUCGUUCUUCCCAGUAUUCAGCCCAGGCUCAUUACAAAAGAAUCAAACAGGAAGCAAAGUAUUAUUUCAGCCGAGGUUCACUUAGUAAAAGUGAAAGCUGCUGUGGAUGUGACCUGGAAAAUAAUUACUCUGCAUAUGUCAAUUUGGAGAAAAAAUCUUGCUUUCUCUUUCACCACUUCAAAUUAAAACUGAGACGACUGCACAUUUUUCAAACCAAUAUACCCCUCAUUUUGACUUUUGGAUACUUAUCUGGAUUCUUCUGGAUUUUAAAACAUUUCCUGAGCUCAUUUUGGAAAAUAUAUUGCAGAGCUUCUGUUUUUGGUGAUGACUGACAAGAUAUUGCAGAAUAACCCUCCUGUUGAGCAAAACAAGAAAAGAUGGGCAAGAUAUAAAAAUCAUAUGCUUGAAUACAUCUGAGAGCUAACAAAGCAUGAGAAAUUAUGUAUCUUGAGCCCUUUAGAAGAGGGAAACCUGGGUAAGUGAGCCAGACAUUUGGAAUAGCUUUCUGCAAGAAGUAUCUGCUAAUGCUGGGAGAGUGGGGAGUUGAGAAGAAAUUUUAAAGGCUUCUGGGAGAGGAGAACAAUUAUUGCACUUUGGUGUCUGCCAAGGAUGGGGAGAUUGAGUAACUGUGCAAGACUUUGGAUUGAGACUCUGAAGACUAUGUCUUAUUGGUAAGUACGAAUGAGAAGCAGACCAGUUGUUAAAUUUGGUAAAGCCCAGUUUCAAAUAAUCUCAAUUCCUAUAAUUGAAUUGAAAAAUAAUCUAGUGGAAAGCUUACAAUUAAAAAAUACAAUAACUAAGAUCUUGAUAGGUUAAGGAGAGAACUGGUUUAACAACAGAUUAGAUACAGUUAAAGAGAGAAUAGAUAAAGAGGAAAAAUGGUAAAAAAAAAAUAUCAAGAAUGAAGAAGAAACAAAAGAAUGGAAAAUGUACUAAAUAAAGGGAGAGGUAUAGGGAAUAUAGUUAGAGAA